AUUGAACGCUGGCGGCAGGCUUAACACAUGCAAGUCGAGCGAGCGGCGGACGGGUGAGUAAUGUCUGGGAAACUGCCUGAUUGAGGGGGAUAACUACUGGAACCGGUAGCUAAUACCGCAUACCAUCGGAUGUGCCCAGCUGGGAGUAGCUAGUAGGUGGGGUAAAGGCGCACCUAGGCGACGAUCCCUAGCUGGUCUGAGAGGAUGACCAGCCACACGGGAACGGAGACACGGUGCAGACUCCUACGGGAGGCAGCUGUGGGGAAGAGUGCACAAUGGGAGAAUGCCUGAUGCAGCCAUGCCGCGUGGAUGAAGAAGGCCUUCGGGUUGUAAAGUACUUUCAGCGGGGAGGCGUUACCCGCAGAAGAAGCACCGGCUAACUCCGUGCCAGCAGCCGCGGUAAUAC
rnacentral:rRNA from 1 species